rnacentral:rRNA from 1 species
GACGAACGCUGGCGGCGUGCUUAACACAUGCAAGUCGAACGAUGAAGCCGGAGCUUGCUCUGGUGAAUUAGUGGCGAACGGGCGAGUAACACGUGAGUAACCCGCCCUUGACGCUGGGAUAACUGCGGGAAACUGUAGCUAAUACCGGAUACGACCCUCGGAGGCCGCUCCUGGGGGUGGAAAGAAUGUCGGUCAAGGAUGGACUCGCGGCCUAUCAGCUAGUUGGGGAGGUAAAGGCUCACCAAGGGGGCGACGGAUAGCCGGCCUGGGAGGGGGACCGGCGGAACUGGGGCUGAGGCACGGACCAGAGUGCGACGGGGGGCAGCAGGGGGGAAUAUUGCACAACGGGCGCAAGCCUGAUGCAGCGACGCCGCGUGAGGGAUGACGGCCUUCGGGUUGUAAACCUCUUUUAGCAGGGAAGAAGCGAAAGUGACGGUACCUGCAGAAAAAGCACCGGCUAACUACGUGCCAGCCGCCGCGGUAA